UGGGGAAUAUUGCACAAUGGGGGAAACCCUGAUGCAGCGACGCCGCGUGAACGAAGAAGGUAUUCGUAUCGUAAAGUUCUGUCCUAUGGGAAGAUAAUGACAGUACCAUAGAAGAAAGCUCCGGCUAAAUACGUGCCAGCAGCCGCGGUAAUACGUAUGGAGCGAGCGUUGUCCGGAAUUAUUGGGCGUAAAGGGUACGCAGGCGGUUUAAUAAGUCGAAUGUUAAAGAUCGGGGCUCAACCCCGUAAAGCAUUGGAAACUGAUAAACUUGAGUAGUGGAGAGGAAAGGGGAAGUCAUAGUGUAGUGGUGAAAUACGUAGAUAUUAGGAGGAAUACCAGUAGCGAAGGCGACUUUCUGGACACAAACUGACGCUGAGAUACGAAAGCGUGGGGAGCAAACAGG
rnacentral:rRNA from 1 species